GAGUGAUGUACAUACAUGUCCAUAAUGAAAAACCCUAGUUAAAUCUUUCUCUCUGUCGCUUUCCUCUUUGCACCCUCACUUCACGCCUAAUAACAACAGCAGCAGCAGCCAACCCAAAGGGAAAAGAGAAACGGAAGAACCCAAUCAUGAGCUGCUGCAAGAACCUCACUUCUUCCCCUUCCCAUUUCUAUUCUUUCUCCAAGCCUUUCCUACCCAAAUCCCUCAGCUUCCCAUUUUUCUUCUCUCCCUCUCCCAACCCCAAAACAGGCCCACGGAAUGCAUUCCACCUCCGCUCAUGGCCACCGCAACGCAGCUUCUCUCGCACCGCAACCAAACGCGUCCCAAUCCAAGCAAAUUCGGCCGCCGCCGCCGACGAGAAGGCCCCCAAACUGGGCAAAAGAACGGAUUUGAAAAAGAUUAUGAUCCUCGGAGCCGGCCCAAUUGUCAUUGGCCAAGCUUGUGAAUUCGAUUAUUCGGGAACCCAAGCUUGCAAAGCGUUAAGAGAGGAAGGGUACGAGGUCGUUUUGAUAAACUCGAACCCGGCAACCAUCAUGACUGACCCGGAUAUGGCGGAUCGGACUUACGUAACUCCGAUGACGCCCGAAUUAGUCGAACAAGUCCUCGAGAAAGAACGUCCCGACGCGCUCCUGCCCACAAUGGGUGGCCAAACAGCUUUAAACCUCGCGGUGGCGUUGGCGGAGUCCGGGGUUUUAGAGAAAUACGGCGUGGAAUUAAUAGGAGCAAAGCUGGACGCCAUUAAAAAGGCUGAGGAUCGCGAUUUGUUCAAGCAAGCGAUGAAAAAUAUUGGUAUUAAAACCCCGCCUUCAGGUAUUGGGAAUACACUAGAUGAAUGUAUCGAAAUAGCUAAUGAAAUCGGGGAGUUCCCAUUGAUCAUUAGGCCCGCGUUUACUUUAGGAGGGACAGGGGGUGGGAUAGCUUACAAUAAAGAAGAAUUUGAGGCUAUCUGCAAGGCGGGAUUGGCUGCCAGCUUGACUUCACAAGUUUUGGUUGAGAAGUCAUUGUUAGGAUGGAAAGAAUAUGAGUUGGAAGUUAUGAGGGACUUGGCUGAUAACGUUGUGAUCAUUUGUUCAAUUGAGAACAUUGAUCCAAUGGGGGUGCAUACAGGGGAUUCAAUUACUGUGGCGCCUGCACAGACCUUGACUGACAAGGAGUACCAGAGGUUGAGGGAUUAUAGUGUUGCGAUAAUUAGGGAGAUUGGUGUGGAGUGUGGAGGUUCGAAUGUCCAAUUUGCGGUUAAUCCUGUUGAUGGUGAAGUCAUGGUCAUUGAGAUGAAUCCAAGGGUUUCAAGGAGUUCUGCUUUGGCUUCAAAAGCUACAGGCUUUCCAAUUGCAAAAAUGGCAGCUAAGCUGUCAGUUGGGUAUUCGUUGGAUCAGAUUCCUAAUGAUAUUACAAAGAAGACUCCAGCUAGUUUUGAGCCAUCUAUUGAUUAUGUGGUGACUAAGAUCCCACGGUUUGCAUUUGAGAAAUUCCCUGGUUCUCAGCCAAUACUGACUACCCAGAUGAAAUCUGUUGGGGAAUCCAUGGCUCUAGGCCGCACAUUUCAAGAAUCCUUUCAAAAGGCAGUUCGAUCACUGGAAUGUGGCUACUCUGGAUGGGGUUGUGCAAAAGUUAAAGAACUUGAUUGGGAUUGGGACCAGCUGAAAUACAGUCUGAGAGUCCCCAGCCCGGAUCGCAUCCAUGCUAUAUAUGCUGCAAUGAAGAAGGGGAUGAAAGUGGACGAGAUAUAUGAGCUGAGUUUCAUUGACAAAUGGUUCCUCACUCAGUUUAAAGAAUUGGUAGAUGUGGAGCAAUAUCUUUUGUCUCGUAGUUUGUCUGAUCUGACAAAGGAUGAAUUUUAUGAAGUCAAGAAGAGAGGCUUCAGUGAUAAGCAAAUAGCCUUUGCAACGAAGUCAUCAGAGAAAGAAGUCCGAGCAAAGCGAAUAUCAUUGGGAAUUACUCCAGCAUAUAAAAGGGUAGAUACUUGUGCUGCAGAGUUUGAGGCCAAUACUCCUUAUAUGUACUCCUCUUAUGAUUUUGAGUGUGAAUCAGCUCCUACUGAAAAGAAGAAGGUUUUGAUUUUGGGUGGAGGACCAAAUCGUAUUGGUCAGGGGAUUGAGUUUGACUAUUGCUGUUGCCAUACAUCUUUUGCCCUUCAGAAAGCUGGAUUUGAGACAAUCAUGAUGAAUUCAAAUCCUGAAACUGUGUCCACGGAUUAUGAUACUAGUGAUCGUCUUUACUUUGAACCCCUAACAGUUGAAGAUGUUCUUAAUGUUAUUGAUUUAGAAAGACCUGAUGGCAUCAUUGUCCAAUUUGGAGGUCAAACACCCCUUAAGCUGGCUCUGCCCAUUCAGCAUUACUUAGAUGAGCACCAGCCUUUAUGUGCCAGUGGGGUUAGGCAUGUACGCAUUUGGGGUACAUCACCAGAUUCCAUUGAUGCAGCUGAGGACAGAGAGAGGUUCAAUGCCAUCCUUAAUGAGUUAAAGAUUGAACAGCCAAAAGGAGGGAUUGCCAAGAGUGAAGGUGAUGCUCUUGCCAUUGCCACAGAUAUAGGUUACCCAGUUGUCGUUAGGCCUUCGUAUGUGUUGGGUGGCCGAGCAAUGGAGAUCGUAUAUAGUGAUGACAAGCUCGUGACAUAUCUAGAGAAUGCUGUUGAGGUGGAUCCAGAACGGCCUGUACUGAUUGACAAGUAUUUAUCUGAUGCAAUUGAGAUUGAUGUAGAUGCACUUGCUGAUUUGCAUGGUAAUGUGGUGAUUGGGGGGAUAAUGGAGCACAUUGAACAGGCUGGGGUCCACUCUGGUGACUCUGCCUGUUCAAUUCCCACACAAACUAUCCCAUCUGCUUGCUUAGAUACUAUAAGGUCAUGGACUACCAAAUUGGCUAAGAGGCUAAAUGUGUGUGGGCUCAUGAACUGUCAGUAUGCAAUCACAGCAUCUGGUGAUGUUUUCUUACUUGAGGCAAAUCCUCGUGCUUCUCGUACUGUACCAUUUGUUUCCAAGGCAAUUGGGCACCCAUUGGCUAAAUAUGCUGCUCUUGUUAUGUCGGGAAAGUCGCUUAAUGAUUUAGGUUUCACAAAAGAGGUGACACCAAAACAUGUGUCAGUUAAGGAAGCUGUUCUUCCAUUUGAGAAGUUCCAAGGUUGUGAUGUGUUGUUAGGACCUGAAAUGAAAAGCACUGGUGAGGUGAUGGGCAUUGAUUUUGAGUUUGCAAUAGCAUUUGCCAAAGCUCAGAUUGCUGCUGGGCAGAAACUACCGCUGUCUGGCACUGUUUUCCUCAGCUUAAAUGACUUGACAAAGCCCUAUCUUGAAAGAAUCGCAAAAGCUUUCUUAGGCCUGGGGUUCCGGAUUGUUUCAACAUCUGGGACAGCUCACUUUCUCGAACUAAAAGGUAUCCCAGUGGAACGAGUGCUGAAAAUGCAUGAGGGGCGGCCACAUGCUGGUGAUAUGAUUGCGAAUGGGCAGAUCCAGUUGAUGCUGAUCACAAGCUCUGGUGAUGCACUUGAUCAGAUUGAUGGUCGGCGAUUGAGAAGAAUGGCUCUUGCUUACAAGGUUCCUAUAAUAACAACUGUUGAUGGAGCCUUGGCAAGUGCAGAGGCAAUAAGGAGCUUGAAGUCGUGCACUAUCAACAUGAUUGCACUUCAGGACUUCUUUGAUACUGAGGUAGAAGCAGGGAGUAGCAAAAAUUUGCUGUCUACUUCUUCCUCUCUAUAGAUUGAGUAGGCAUUUUGGGUGCCCUUAUGUGUUAGCUUAUGCAGCAGAACGGAGUUACUAUUGGGUAAACUGCAAUGAGCUGGUCAAGAAUUUGAAAGGAAUUUGGCUCGGUGGCUGCAGAAAUCAGUGUUUUAGUCUCUUUUGAGCUCUUUAUCAUCUUAUCUAGAUAACCAUCACUUCACUCUUUUAAGUCCAAAGUUGGCAAUCAAAUCAUUAUUGGAGGACUGCAAAGAACCCAAACAAGAAAAUUCAAAAACCAAGACAACUCAAAUUCAUGACUUGAUUUUCCUUAAUGAAGAGAUAAGAAGCAGACGGUAUACUGUUGGAUUAGGUGUAACGCCUAGCAAGCUUGCGUGGAUCAGCUUAUCUAGAGGCUCGUUUGUUAUCAUUGCACCACAAGGGAGCAAGUCGCUGCUCUGCAGCAAGCCCCCAAGGUACCCUUAAACCUGCACGAGCCAACACUCAAGAAGCCAUCUCUUAGGUUUCGAGACUGGGUGUCUACCUUCUCCUGGAGUUUCAGGCAAAUGUCAUGGAUCUUGAGCUUAUAAGUAUAAAUAAGGGUUUUUUUCACUUGUAAAGUAUGAAUUCAUAACAAACGGUAUUAGAGUUUACUCAAUUUUUUAUUGAUUUGAGAUCUCCAUAAU